UUUGAUUUUCAGGUUUUUCCAUUAUAGAGUUGCACAUCCAGUUGAUAGUGCUUUUGGUCUAUGGUUGACAUCUAUAAUUCGCGCGACCAUCUUGGCAUGAUUCAGGUUUUUCUUUGACACAGUGGUGCCCAUGACAUGGAAGGAAAUGAACUUCCAAGGUUGGUUUAUGUUUCUAGAGAGAAAAGGCCAGGUUACACCCACCACAAAAAGGCUGGUGCUGAAAAUGCACUGGCGAGGGUGUCUGCAGUUCUCAUAAUGCUCCCUACAUUCUCAGUCUUGAUUGAUUGUGAUCAUUAUGUUAACAAUAGCAAGGCUGUUUGAGGAGCGAUGUGUUUUCUGAUGGAUCCAGUAAUCGGUAACAUCUUUGUUAUGUGCAGUUCCCCCGGAGAUUUGAUGGCAUUGAUCACAGUGAUCGAUAUGCCAAUCGCAACACGGUUUUCUUUGAUGCCAAUAUUCGUUUGUGCUAUUGUUACUUCAGUGUCUUAAAAAGUUGUGUGAAUUUCUAUGGGAAGAAACAUAUGUAGGCAGCAAGGAAUAGGAAAAAGGAAGUUAGUUGAGUGUAAAUAUUGCAAUCUUGAAUGGCAGGAAAUAAUAAGACAUCAUAGAGAUAAGGUCAACCAAGCGAUUAACCGGUACACUGUGUUAAAUCGAUACUAUGGCAGUUGCUCAAUGGACUGAACUAUCUGCACGGGUUAGUCUAUUCUUUGUGAAGUUAAAGAUGGUUCCUUUUAUUUGUUUUCUUUGUGUUUACUUAUAUUAUUUCUGAAUACGCAUGGAGAAUCAACUGCCCUAAUGCUACAAUUGGCCUUUCAAAGUCUCGGAAUAGUUUACGGAGACAUUGGUUAAUACUAUUACUAGCUUUUAUUUUCGUGAUAAUAUAAAUGUUUUUGAGCAUUUUCACUAACUAUAGUGAUUUGUUAUGUGGAACAUUUGCUUUGUAUUCUAUUGUAUGUCGUUACGCCAAAGUGGGACUUCUUCCGAAUAACCAAGUAGAGGACACACAGGUGUCUAAUUACCAGCUGGGAUUGCUAAACCGCCGUGAAAUGAGAGCUUCCAACCUUAAAACUGUGCUUCAGAAGAGUCACUUUAUGAAGAUCUUCCUCUUAUCUGAUACUUUGCUGGGAACUUCCAUGGUUAUCGGUGAACGUGUGUGGGUCUGAAUUUUGAAGACAGUCACAUAACUACUUGGCUUGGAAAUCUUCUUGCUGUGCCCGAUCUCCGUAAAGAGUGGCAUGAAAAUUUGAGCUCACAUGUUGGCUCACACUCACAGAAGAACAAGGUAUAUACUGAAAAUUAUAUGGCUAACUAUAAUUUAUAUGAAUAUAUAAUUGGAUAGUGUUUUUGUGCAGCUGUUGAAUGUUGCGCUUGAUAUGGCUAGGAGAGAAGCAGAAACUGUAAUUCAUGCUUGCAAUGACUUUUUGGCUGUUAUGAAUCACGAGAUGAGAACUCUAAUGCGUGCAAUUAUUGCACUCUCUUAAUUGUUACAGGAAACAGAUAUGACUGCCGAGCAACGUCUGAUGGUGGAAACAAUAUGAAAAGCAGCAAUUUAUUGGCUAUGAUGUACUCAAGAUCCUGUUUUGGUUUUUGUUACCAAGUUUUUGUAUUUGACAUAUUUAUGCAUUUUUUCAUAGGUGACACUAUGAUAGCGACUGAUAUGAUGUUGUGCUGGUAGCAGUUUAGGAUUGUCGUAAUCCAUGGGCUUGGCUAAGUUGUGCAUUUCUGUGACGACUCAUCUCCGCCUAAUUGACAGAUUUGUGCAUCCGAUUAGCGUUGAACAGAUACGCUCUGAUUGAAUUGCAUUCAAAGAUAUUUGGUUUUUUCUAUUAAUGUUUAGUAUCAUCUUCUUGAUUUUUGCUAUUUUACACCGUGUGGUUUGGUUUAUGUGCUACCAGAUUCUUUCUUUGCUGUCUGUCUUGGCCUGGUGCGGUAUUUGGCUUGGUGCUGGUGGUGUUUAGUUGAUGUUUACAGCUCUGCUUACUUAGUGAUAUUUUAUAUGGUUUUGGUUUGAUUCUGUUCUCGGGUGGUUGUUAGUGCUAUAUUUUGAAAAUCAAAUUCUACUUGCUGUGUAUCUGUGUAUUUGAUAGAUUUGCUGACAUCAACUGUGAAAGUGAUACACUAUUGGAUAAUUUUUUAGAGUUACAAGUUUAACACAUUCAGCCAUCAAUUUGUUUUAUAUUAACUUGAUGAUCAAGUAUGUAAAAUAUUGGAUGUUUAAAUAGUUUUUGAAUCAUAUGAAGCUCUGCAGCUUUGAUCUACUUAAUGAGAACUUUAAAUUCAAAUUUUGCUUUGUUUCAGCCCUUUGUUCGUUACAUGGAAGAAAGUGGUAAAUGAUCCAAUAGAUCAAAGUAUGCUUGCAAAAAACAUAUCAGUGUUCGGUGAGUAAGUGGUUUAUUAAUAUCUAACACAUGAUAAUAUCUAAUUACUUCUCUUAACACCAAAGAUUGAACAAGUCUGGUGCAGAUCUGUCUUGGAUAAAGU